rnacentral:rRNA from 1 species
UACGAAGGGGGCUAGCGUUGCUCGGAAUUACUGGGCGUAAAGGGCGCGUAGGCGGCGCAUUUAGUCAGGCGUGAAAGCCCUGGGCUCAACCUGGGGACUGCGCUUGAUACGGGUGUGCUAGAGGACGGAAAAGGGUCGCGGAAUUCCCAGUGUAGAGGUGAAAUUCGUAGAUAUUGGGAAGAACACCGGUGGCGAAGGCGGCGACCUGGUCCGUUACUGACGCUGAGGCGCGACAGCGUGGGGAGCAAACAGG